UAGAAAGUUUGAGACAAUCAAAGAAAGAGAAAAAAAGAAGAAGAACAGAAGUCCUCAGAAAAUGUAGAUGAGAGCGGAAAUGUAAGACAAUCGAAGAGCAGGAAAAAAGAACAAGAACAGGUGAAGUUGACUAUCAAGUUAAACAUGUUAAAUACUUUAACCGAGACUCUUGUCGAUAAAGAAUCAACGAAAAAGGCUGUAUGCCGAAAAAUGAAAGUGAUAUCUGCCCCAAAAAAGGGUGACAUUGAAAAAAC